GACGUAGGGCGCGAGCGUUGUCCGGAUUUAUUGGGCGUAAAGAGCUCGUAGGCGGCUUGUCGCGUCGGCUGUGAAAACCCGCGGCUCAACUGUGGGCGGGCAGCUGGUACGGGCAGGCUGGAGUUCGGUAGGGGAGACUGGAAUUCCUGGUGUAGCGGUGAAAUGCGCAGAUAUCAGGAGGAACACCGGUGGCGAAGGCGGGUCUCUGGGCCGAAACUGACGCUGAGGAGCGAAAGCGUGGGGAGCGAACAGG
rnacentral:rRNA from 1 species